GGUAAACUCCAAGCACCGCCUCUAAAUGUCGGGGUUAAAAUUGUAGUGAGGCUCCGGGCAAUGGUCUGAAACUGACUCAAUAAGCAGGCUUAGUCCUCCGAAGCUCAGCAGUUGGCGUCAGAACUCCAGUGGCUACAGAGAAGCGACAGUUGGCAGAGCCAACAACAGCACAUGGGAGACACCAGGGUCCCUUGGCAAAGGAGGAUCAAGGAAGCAGUGGAGAGGCUCAUGCAGUCUCCGGCAGCAACAGAGAAUUCUACCAUAACCCCAGGCACAGGCUGAGUGAUGGAUGCGAUGGAUGCUGAAUGAUAUGUGACUGAGUGAACCGCAGUGCACUCUGGGAAACCCGGAAGGAGAUGGCUAUCAUGAAAAAUGAUGUUUUUGCCUAUAAUUCAAUAUCCAGGUAAUUUGUCACAGCAAGAGGAGGAAAUGGAACGAAUGCACACAGCAGCUAGUAAACAUGAGCAAGAGACAGGAAUGUAAUGGCCAUCUUACUCUCUGGGUCCUCGGGUGUAAGAGGGACCAAACUCAUAAGUCAACUCAACUCAUCAGACAGGAAAAUAAGCAAGAAGAUUCUGAAGUCUUUUCUACAUUCGUUUGUGGAGAAAGAGUGGUGUAGCCCAGGGCUGUGUCUGCUUCAAAAUGCAGGGAGAGUCAGCCUACAGUCCAUAAUUAGCACCAUGUCAUUCCAGUGAGAGCCACAGUCCUGUGCCACCCCGUGGGACCCAAGUCCUGAUCAUGAAAAUCCAUGCCUGCACAUCCUCUCUGAAGGACCCGAAAAAGUCCCUUGGAAAGGGCCAUUCAUCCCUCAUAGUGUCUCUCUAGCAUCUGCCUGGUCCACUGUUGAUUUGACCUGCAUCAAGACCAAAGCAGGAAUUUAGAAAGAUUCACCAAAUCCAAGAGAAGCUUCUACAGCUUGGGCUGCAAAAACAACAACUGGAGUUAGAAGCUCUGGGAGGUGUAGACUAGAAGAUCCUGUCAUCUUCGCAGAGACAGAAGGCUUUGCCUGUGUUCAUCAAUCCUGUUUCUCCGAAGACAAGCUAAAGAGCGUAGAGCCAGGCGGGCUCAGAGGUGACUUGUAAUGAGGAAGGGAGCUGCCAGGCCCUUUGAGAAGAUCACAGCCAUCCAAAGCAGAGACACUUUAAAGCCAGGCAGAGUGGAGAUGCCACUUAGAAACUUGGUCCAGGGACCAUAAGCCUUAUGAGGUUAUUGUCUAGCAGGGUGCUUCCUGACAAAGAAGGACACAUUACUCUUUCUGAAAAAGCUCAUCAAAUUGAACCUGCCCAUCACCUGGACCUGUCCUUCACCUGGACCUGUCCAUCACCUGGACAUGUCCAUCAUCUGGAUCUGUCCAUCACCUGAACCUGCCCAUCACCUGGACCUGUCCCUCACCUGGACCUGUCCAUCACCUGGACAUGUCCAUCAUCUGGAUCUGUCCAUCACCUGGACCUGUCCCUCACCUGGACCUGUCCAUCACCUGGACUGGGAAGCCAAGAAGUCCAGAGCAAGAACCAGCUGAUUGGCCCUGUAUCGUCUGGGUGGAUCCAAGGCAUCCCAAGGAUCCUUGUUAGGAGGACGGAGGAGAGUCAUAGUCUCAGAGAGACGGGUGAGGACUGAAGCAGAGGGUUGAAGAAAAAUGGGAGAGGUGAUGAGAAUCCCUAGCUCACACUGACAAUGUGAGGAUGUGGGCUGGGUCUGUGAACACAGCCAGAACAGGACUCCAUGUGGAAGAACACAAACAAGUGAGAUGCACUGGUUAUAUGGUGCUGUUCUCCAAGGCACUGCUACCUGCUGAGAGGCCCUGGAGAUAUUCUGGAGACAGCACCUGGCAGAUCCACCUACAGGCUGGCGACAAGCACCAAGAAUGGAUUGGGCAGGGGAUGGGCCUCCCCUCUUUAUAAGCAGUCUCUUAGUAAACUCGGGGGCCUUGAACAGAAACAUG
rnacentral:lncRNA from 1 species